rnacentral:misc_RNA from 1 species
GAUGAAGAACGCAGCGAAAUGCGAUAAGUAAUGUGAAUUGCAGAAUUCAGUGAAUCAUCGAAUCUUUGAACGCACCUUGCGCCCUUUGGACAUUCCGAAGGGCAUGCCUGUUUGAGUAUCAUGAACACCUCAACUCUCACGGCUUGUCCGUGAUGAGCUUGGACUUUGGGGGUCUUGCCGGCCUGUGGUCGGCUCCUCUCAAAUGGAUCAGCUUGCCAGUGUUUGGUGGCAUCACAGGUGUGAUAACUAUCUGCGCUUGUGGUUUUCCAUCAGAUAACCUUCAGUGAUAUGGAGGUUCGCUGGAGCUCACAAAUGUCUCUCCUUAGUGAGGACAGCUCUUUGAACGUUUGAUCUCAAAUCAGGUAGGACUACCCGCUGAACUUAAGCAUAUCAAUAAGCGGAGGG